GGGGAUGUAGCUCAGUGGUAGAGCACUUGCCUUAUAAGCAUGAGGCCCUGAGUUCAAUUUCUAGUUCUA
rnacentral:tRNA from 1 species